GCUAUAGCUCAGUGGUAGAACAUCUGUUUUGCAUACAGAAGGCCACAGGUUUGAGCCCCAGCAACUCCA